AGCUCCAAUAGCGUAUAUUAAAGUUGUUGCAGUUAAAAAGCUCGUAGUUGGAUUUCUGACAUCUUUUUUCUUCCUUUCUUGUUUGCUAAUUGCAAAUGUUAGGUUUGAUUGGGUGUCUUCCUUCCCUGUUAAUUUGUCCCUUGCACAUUAACUUGUUCUCGGGUCAAAUGGGGAUCAUUUACUGUGAAAAAAUUAGAGUGUUCAAAGCAAGUAUUUAAUUUCUUGAAUACAUUAGCAUGGAAUAAUAAGAUAGGACUUUGGUUAUAUUUUGUUGGUUUGCAAGCUAAGGUAAUGAUUAAUAGGAACAUAUUGGGGAUAUCUGUAUUUUUUAGUCAGAGGUGAAAUUCUUGGAUUUAAGAAAGACAAACUACAGCGAAAGCAUUUAUCAAGGAUGUUUUCA
rnacentral:rRNA from 1 species